CCCACACCCACCUACCUUACCCCUUUUCUUUCUUCCCCACACUCACACAUAGAUAGAGUAAAUGAAGCCUAGCCUUUCAGAUCUUAGUGUGUGUUCAUGUUGCUUUUCUUCUUUUUCUUUUGAUUUUUGCGCUGGUUUGAUGUUCUUCCUUUGUAUUUUGAUUAGUCUGAAUUAUUUGCUUCUUGAUCAUCAUCAUCAUGUCCAUAUAUAUAUACAUAUAUAUAUAUAUAUAUAUCUUUCUCUUUCAGAGAUGCUAAUUUCCAGCAGUCAAUAUCAGAAUAUCAAGUAAUUGUUUUAAUCCUCUCUAGCUUUUCUGUAUGUAAAUUUUUUAUUUAUUUAUGGUGGAUUUAAUUUACCAGCCGAUCCACCAGCAAAAGAUAAGGUUAAUUGAUGCUGGAAUCUGGCCGAAUAAAUUUUCAAGCUUAUAAUUAUCGUUUCAACAGUAUCGGGUUGCUGCUUUCUUUAUUGUUUUUUUGGAAUAUUGAAAUGUGGCAAUGGGCAAAAAAAUUAAAAUAAAAAAAAAAGAAAAAGAAUAGGGUUGGUUUUUGUUUUCGCUUGUGUUGUCUGAAAAUGAGUUCCGACCCGAGGAGCUAGAUUCUUGUUUGCUACCGCCAUCAUCAAGUCAUUUUCUUCACUAUUUUGACCCACUGGUAAUAAGCCACGCACAUUGGCCUUUCUUCCUAGUAGUUUUUGAUAUUCUUUAGAUGAACAUAAAUUUCAGUGGUUUCGUGUUUGUCUUAAUUCAAACACCUCCACCCCACCCCCCACUCUCAAUUCUAUUUCACACACACACAACACACAGUUACAUCACUUUUCUGGGAUAUUUUUUCUCAAGAAAAUCCGAUGAAAGUGUUUUUGGGUUUUAAUUGAUUUCUUAGCAAAUCUUGGGGAUUUCUUGCAUGGAUCUAUAGAUAAACAACUAUGUAUAAAGUCGUUGGUUUCUGGUGUGGCAUCAUCAAGAUUCACAAACGAAGGCAUAUGGUUAUGGCGAGGUGAUGAUAUCAUGAAUCCCUCCUCUCUCUCUCUCUCUCUACACCAGAGCCUUUAGAUGGUGAGAAUCUUGAUGAUGCUGCAUCGGCAAUAAACGACUACCGAAGCAGUACAGAUGGACGGUCGCAGGUGAUCAAACAAGCCCAAAAAACCCUCGGUUCCGACAUGAUCAAUGGUCGGAUUUCUUGCACUGUGAAAACCGACACGAGUGACUACUGACGGAACUUCACCCUGCAGAUGAAACACUAACAGAUCUGCGAUUAUUCUAUCCUCUGCACAAGAAAAGGGAUUUUUUUUUUCUGAUUUAUUUCCACGGAAAUUUGGACAUAAUAUCAAGAAUUAAUUUACCAGCUUCCAGGGGAAACGUAAUUAAACUUGGAGAGCAGUGGAAGUGUGAAAGACCCGUUCUGGACAAAACUGAUGAGAAAAGGGAACAGAAGUCAAGAACAGAAGACCCGAUGCACUUGAUGGAAUCUAACGAGCAUGAUCAAAUCAAAAAUACUGGUCAGGACAUUGCUCAACUAAUUCUUGCAGCUCCACCGACAUAUUAGCAAUGAGUUACUCGGAUUCGGACAUUUCUUGUUCACCCAAGUUGAUCAAUCUUGCCUUCGCUCUUGAUGAGGUUGUAAUCGAUCCCGUCAAAAAGUCGAGCUCUCUCUCUAUAAAACUGUUUUUUGUCACCUAAUAAUAUACGUGCUUAGAAUCCAAUAUACAUCGAAUACAAGAUGAAGUAUGGAACUAAUCAAAAUCCAGGAUUAAUCAAAUUAAUGCUCAUUCGAAUUAUUUAAUUAUGUUCAUCAUGUAAUUAUGCCAGCAUUGUAUAAUCCUCGUACUGAGUCAUAGUUUAUUAAUUAAUAAUAGCAGGAUCAAGAGACACACAUACUAAUUGUCCUGUAAUAUAUAUUGUACGUAGAAUGUAAUGUGUAUAUAUAUAUGAUGCAGGCAUUUCCCUGUCUAACCCUUUUUCUUUUAUAUAUAUAUAUGAAAAAGUUUCCGUUUCAUUCGUACAUCACAUCAGAUCAUAACCCCACAGACCACUAACUUAUGGCUGAAGUAAGACAUGGUACAAAGUUGUUCACAGAUAUUGGACUAUAUAUCAUUUUGGAGCUACAAAAGACUUUUUUCCUACAUUUGUAAUAUUUAAAAAUACAGUUUUAAAAUUUGUGUUGAAUAUUAUAGAUCGCGGUCAAAUAGAUUGACGUAAUAUAUAGCCAGAGUAUUUUUUUUAUGAUUUUUAAUUAUAAUUAAUAUUUUGGCCAUACAUGCUAAAAUAAUAACCAAUAA